rnacentral:rRNA from 1 species
AGUCGAACGGCAGCACGGACUUGGUCUGGUGGCGAGUGGCGAACGGGUGAGUAAUGUAUCGGAACGUGCCUGGUAGCCGGGGGAUAACUGCAUAAAGCGUAGCUAAUACCGCAUACGCCCUUCGGGGAAAAGCGGGGGACCUUCGGGCCUCGCACUAUUAGAGCGGCCGAUAUCGGAUUAGCUAGUUGGUGGAGUAACGGCUCACGGGCGACAGCGAUCGUAGCUGGUUUUGGGGAGGACGACCAGCCACACUGGGACUGAGACGUGAACUCCUACGGAGGCAGCAGUGGGGAAUUUUGGACAAUGGGAAACCCUGAUCCAGCCAUCCCGCGUGUGCGAUGAAGGCCUUCGGGUUGUAAAGCACUUUGGCGGGAAAACGGCACCGGGAUAUUACCCCGUGCAACUGACGAGCACCUGCAAGAAUAAGCACCGGCUAACUACGUGCCAGCAGCCGCGUCAACACGGUGCAGCGAUAAUCGAUUACUGGGCGUAAAGCGUGCGCAGGCGGUUCGGAAAGAAAGAUGGUGAAAUCCCAGAGCUGCUGGAGCACGUUUUUAACUACCGAGCUAGAGAGUGUGUCAGAGGGAGGUGGAAUUCCGCGAUAAUAUGCAGUGAAAUGCGUAGAUAUGCGGAGGAACACCGAUAGCGAAGGCAGCCUCCUGGGAUAACACUGACGCUCAUGCGAAAGCGUGGGAGCAAACGAGUUAGAUGCCCUGGUAGUCCACGCCCUAAACGAUGUCAACUAGCUGUUGGGGCCUUCCGGGCCUUGGUAGCGCAGCUAACGCGUGAAGUUGACCGCCUGGGAAAUACAGUCGCAAGAUUAAAACUCAAAGGAAUUGAAAAGGCGGGGAUUACCUGACGGCGAAGUGGAUGAUGGAUGUGUUAAAUUCAACAUGAAAAACCUUACCUACCCUUGACAUGUCUAGAUCGAAGAGAUUUGGGAGUGCUCGCAAGAGAACCGGAACACAGGUGCUGCAUGGCUGUCGUCAGCUCAUGUCGUGAGAUGUUGGGUUAAGUCCCGCAACGGCGCAACCCUUGUCGUUAGUUGCUACGAAGGAGCACUCUAAUGAGACUGCCGGUGACAAGCCGGAGGAAGGUGAGGAUGAUCAGGUCCUCAUGGCCCUUAUGGGUGAGCCACACGUCAUGCAAUGGUCGGGACAGAGGGUCGCCAACCCGCGAGGAGCCAAUCCCAGAAACCCGAUCGUAGUCCGGAUCGCAGUCUGCAACUCUGACCUGCAGUGAAGUCGGAAUCGCUAGUAAUCGCGGAUCGGCAUGUCGCGGUGAAUGACCCGGGUCUUGUACACCGCCCGUCACACCAUGGGAGUGGGUUUUACCAAGUAGUUAGCCUAACCGUAAGGAGGGCGAUUACCACGGUAGGAUUCAUGACUGGGGUGAAGUCGUAGCUAAGGUAG